rnacentral:rRNA from 1 species
GAUGAACGCUGGCGGCGUGCCUAAUACAUGCAAGUCGAGCGAACAGACGAGGAGCUUGCUCCUCUGACGUUAGCGGCGGACGGGUGAGUAACACGUGGAUAACCUACCUAUAAGACUGGGAUAACUUCGGGAAACCGGAGCUAAUACCGGAUAAUAUAUUGCACCGCAUGGUUCAAUAGUGAAAGACGGUUUUGCUGUCACUUAUCGAUGGAUCCCGGCCGCAUUAGCUAGUUGGUAAGGUAACGGCUUACCAAGGCGACGAUGCGUAGCCGACCUGAGAGGGGGAUCGGCCACACUGGAACUGAGACACGGUCAAGACUCCUACGGGAGGCAGCAGUAGGGAAUCUUACGCAAUGGGCGAAAGCCUGACGGAGCAACGCCGCGUGAGUGAUGAAGGUCUUCGGAUCGUAAAACUCUGUUAUUAGGGAAGAACAAAUGUGUAAGUAACUAUGCACGUCUUGACGGUACCUAAUCAGAAAGCCACGGCUAACUACGUG